UACGUAGGGUCCGAGCGUUGUCCGGAAUUAUUGGGCGUAAAGGGCUCGUAGGCGGUUUGUCGCGUCGGGAGUGAAAACUCAGGGCUCAACCUGAGCGUGCUUCCGAUACGGGCAGACUAGAGGUAUGCAGGGGAGAACGGAAUUCCUGGUGUAGCGGUGAAAUGCGCAGAUAUCAGGAGGAACACCGGUGGCGAAGGCGGAUCUCUGGGCCAUUACUGACGCUGAGGAGCGAAAGCGUGGGGAGCGAACAGG
rnacentral:rRNA from 1 species